rnacentral:tRNA from 2 species
GCGCCCGUAGCUCAGCUGGAUAGAGUACCUGGCUUCGAACCAGGUGGUCGGAGGUUCGAAUCCUUCCGGGCGCGCCA